UGGUCCCAGUCCUGCGUCUGGUUCUGGUUCCAGUCCUGGUUCUGGUCACAAGGCUUUGUGUCCGUGGCAGCACAACACUCAGGUUGGAUAAGCUCAGUCUCUCAUGUCUUUGUUUGGGAUAAGGCAGCAGAGGGACUUUAUGUUCUUCAAGGCUCUGCAUCCUAAAUGGAUUUCUUCAGCGCCUCAGGUUUUGGUUUCCUGCUGUUUAAUGUGUUUUGUGUCGCCGGUUGGUUCCCGCUGUAAGGGAUGGACUUGAAGUUUGAGGAAUCUUCUUGUUGAUGGUCUCUCUCAACCUCCUCACCUCCUUCUUUCCUCCUCCAGGUUGCCAGAGCUGCUCCUUUGAUGAGCAACUUUCCUGCUUGGUGGUGGAUGUGAAAAAUCAUUUUUUAUUUUCUUUGUUUUUAGGUUUCUGAAGAACUUAGGGUCCAAACAAAAUCUUCUUAAUUACAGGUUUGGUCACUCUAGUUUUAUGGAACUUUUGCAACAAUGUAUAUGAUGGAAUGAAAUAUUAAGGCUUUUAUUUGGAAGAGUAUUUCUACGCCUUAUUUUAAGAGAAUUUGGACGAUCUAAUGCAGAGAUCUGCAGCAUGGAGCUCCAGAGCCACAAGUGUCUCUUUAGUGCUUCCAAGGUUCAAUAGUAACAAUAAUUGUGGCUAAAAAUGUUAAAGAACCAAAUGACUUUUUAAAAAUGAAUAUGUAAUGUAGCAGGAUGAAGCCUGCUUCAGGAUUGAAGUCACCUGGCACUUAAUCACCUGAGUGGGUGGGAGCAUAAAGGCAGACUCCCUAGCCUUCUCUCUUCAUGCCUGCAUCUGGUCACACGUCAGUUGAAUGUCUGCUUGGUUAAUUUGCAGUGAUCAAACUCAAAAUCCGAAAUAAAGCUGCCUGAAGCCUCCUGUUUAUACUGGGAUGUGGCAGUAAUUUACCCUUCCCAGUGCAACUUGGCAACAUAAACAGGCUUGUAUUGACAAGUGGAUCCUCCCGCUUUGGGGCCAGAAGGGGCUCUCUGGUUGAGGUGGAGUCAUCCAGCUCUGGUAGGUGACCAUGGUUUUCUCUGCCUUGUGCCAUGUUCCCAAAAUCACCUAUUAACCAAACUUAAUUUCAGGUCUAAAGCUGCUGCAGCUCGCUGGAAGCCCUGCUGCUUUGUUUUUACCUCCAGUUUGGCUGGGUGUGACUGCUGUGAUUUUUUUAGACCACUUAAUCAAACUGCUGAUUUUAAUAACUGGAUGUAUCAGAGGGUAACCUCAUUUUAGCACCCCUGUGUAAAUUGUAGUUUCUUUGUUUAACCCCACCCUUUUGUCUCCAGGCUGGGAGCUGAAGGCAGUGGGGGGGCAGCCAGAGGGACUGGACCAGUGUGCUGUGCGAGUGACCGGUGUCGGGAUUUCUUCACAGAUUGAAUGUUUAUUCACAAGUGCUUGGGGUGAUUUAUUUUGAUUUAUUAAUUUGUUUAGGUCCAGUUCCCACAUUUGGAUUGCCCUCCCCCCUGCUGGUAGGCCCCAGCACUGCACUCCCUUUCCUAUUGUGCUCCUUGAAUUUUACUGUUUUUUUUUAAAAGAGAGAAACGAUAAAGUUAAUUAUUUUUUGCUUUCAAAGAAGUCUUGCUCUCCUUGGGUACAAACCCGUCUAUUUCCUUGGGUGCAA